GACGAACGCUGGCGGCGUGCUUAACACAUGCAAGUCGAACGGAAAGGCCUGCUUUCCCUUGUGGAUUGCGGGUACUCGAGUGGCGAACGGGUGAGUAACACGUGAGUGAUCUGCCCCCAACUUGGGUAUAAGCCUGGGAAACUGGGUCUAAUUCCCGAUAGGACUGCAGGGUGGUGCCUGUGGUGGAAAACGAUUUUCUAGUGGUUGGGGAUGAGCUCGCGGCCUAUCAGCUUGUUGGUGGGGUAAUGGCCUACCAAGGCGGCGACGGGUAGCCGGACUGAGAGGGGGGACGGCCACAUUGGGACUGAGAUACGGCCCAGACUCCUACGGGAGGCAGCAGUGGGGAAUAUUGCACAAUGGGCGGAAGCCUGAUGCAGCGACGCCGCGUGGGGGAUGACGGCCUUCGGGUUGUAAACUCCUUUCGACCGCGAGGAAGCCACCUGGUUGGAAGGGUGGUGACGGUAGUGGUAGAAGAAGCACCGGCUAACUACGUG
rnacentral:rRNA from 1 species